UUAAAAGAUCAAUGGAUUUUCUUAAACCUUGCAAUAUUCCAAUCUCCAUGUUAAUCACUGACAGGCACACACAAAUUGCCAAACAUAUGAGAGAGUAUUACCCACUACUUUGACCUUUGGCAUUUGACAAAAAAAGUGACCAAAGUCCUGACCAAACUUGCAGCAUGUGCUGGAUGUGAGUCUUUAUCAAGCUGUAUAAGACCUUAUUCCAACCAUUUGUACUGGAGUGCUAUAUCAACAUCCUCUGGUAAUGGAAAUAUGAUUGUGGCUAAGUAUCUUUCCUUGGUCAUGUCAAAAACCAACACAAUGGAUUUUCAGACCCUUUAUUUGACAAAUGUGCUCAGGAUUCCAACAUAAAACCAUGCAAAUGGCUAUAUGAAGAUUCUCUAUCAUACAAUAAGAUGUGUACAGCUUUAACUGGAGUUUCCCAGGUUAAAGUGCAUUAUC